AUUCCAGAGGUGGCGCCUCCCAGCGUCACUCCGGCAGCAAGCGAAGGUGUCGUUGGCACCCGUGGUAUAGUCCCCCCGGCUAUACCACGAUAUUUUUUU
rnacentral:ncRNA from 1 species